GAUGAACGCUGGCUACAGGCUUAACACAUGCAAGUCGAGGGGAAACGACGGGGAAGCUUGCUUCCCCGGGCGUCGACCGGCGCACGGGUGAGUAACGCGUAUCCAACCUGCCUCUGACUGAGGGAUAACCCGUCGAAAGUCGGCCUAAUACCUCAUGGCAUCGUCUGCGGGCAUCCAACGACGAUUAAAGAUUUCAUCGGUCAGAGAUGGGGAUGCGUCUGAUUAGCUUGUUGGCGGGGUAACGGCCCACCAAGGCGACGAUCAGUAGGGGUUCUGAGAGGAAGGUCCACCACAUUGGAACUGAGACCCGGUCCAAACUCCUACGGGAGGCAGCAGUGGGGAAGAUUGGUCAAUGGGCGAGAGCCUGAACCAGCCAAGUAGCGUGCAGGAUGACGGCCCUAGGGGUUGUAAACUGCUUUUAUGCGGGGAUAAAGUGAGGGACGUGUCCUUCAUUGCAGGUACCGCAUGAAUAAGGACCGGCUAAUUCCGUG
rnacentral:rRNA from 1 species